AUCUCCUUAUUAGAUGUAAGAGACAAGAAGCCCCAGGUAAACUGGUUACAAUUCUUUUGUCAGCUGUUUAGUAUCGAACACCCAGGUUCUAACGUCUCUCCAUCCUUUUGUUAUUAGUUCUUACUGGAAGCCUAGUGCCAUUUAGAGGAUGAGUCUCUUGAGCGAUAAAGCCACUGAGCUGACACUAAAGGAAAGUACUCCUUAAGGGAAAAUCUAAGUCCAGAGAGACAGCCGGUAGCAGAUAGGCUGCCCCUCUGCUCACUUUUCUGUUUCACAGACACAAGGUCUUUUUGUCCCAAGAAAGCCUCCUGGCUUAGCUGUGUGACUAAAUGCUAUUUGCCCUCUUCAGUGGACCUCUAUUCUCAAGAUUCCCUUGUUUUCUCACCAUCCCAUUUGAGAUGCUUGUUAGUAACUGUUACAGGUCUUCUUUACCACCGAAGAAGGACGGAAUCCUACUAGAGGCCAGAAAAAAUGUUCCAGACACGAUGGAAGGCCCUCACUUCUGCCUGCUCUCUUCAAACGCCUAAAGGUAGGGAGUGCCAGGUCUGCUGCCAGGCUCCAAGGGUGGGUCUCUGAGGGGCUAGAAAA
rnacentral:lncRNA from 1 species